rnacentral:rRNA from 1 species
UAAUACAUGCAAGUCGAGCGGACCGACGGGAGCUUGCUCCCUUAGGUCAGCGGCGGACGGGUGAGUAACACGUGGGUAACCUGCCUGUAAGACUGGGAUAACUCCGGGAAACCGGGGCUAAUACCGGAUGCUUGAUUGAACCGCAUGGUUCAAUCAUAAAAGGUGGCUUUUAGCUACCACUUACAGAUGGACCCGCGGCGCAUUAGCUAGUUGGUGAGGUAACGGCUCACCAAGGCGACGAUGCGUAGCCGACCUGAGAGGGUGAUCGGCCACACUGGGACUGAGACACGGCCCAGACUCCUACGGGAGGCAGCAGUAGGGAAUCUUCCGCAAUGGACGAAAGUCUGACGGAGCAACGCCGCGUGAGUGAUGAAGGUUUUCGGAUCGUAAAACUCUGUUGUUAGGGAAGAACAAGUACCGUUCGAAUAGGGCGGUACCUUGACGGUACCUAACCAGAAAGCCACGGCUAACUACGUGCCAGCAGCCGCGGUAAUACGUAGGUGGCAAGCGUUGUCCGGAAUUAUUGGGCGUAAAGCGCGCGCAGGCGGUUUCUUAAGUCUGAUGUGAAAGCCCCCGGCUCAACCGGGGAGGGUCAUUGGAAACUGGGGAACUUGAGUGCAGAAGAGGAGAGUGGAAUUCCACGUGUAGCGGUGAAAUGCGUAGAGAUGUGGAGGAACACCAGUGGCGAAGGCGACUCUCUGGUC